GUUAUUCAGAGGCAUUUCAAGCUUGGAAAGAAACCCAAAUGCCACAACAUGACAGUUGGUGAUUAGACAUGGAAAACAAUCUGUGGAUCUUGUAGACCUGCACAACUCACUGAAGUCUGAGGCAGACAGUGCUGGAGACCCCAAACUCUCCUGAAUCACAGGCAGAGGACGAAACAGUGAAGGGGACUUCUUCCAGGAGCACCUGACACAUUUCAGCAAACACAGUGUGCUAAUACUGAGUGAAAGCCUGUCCAAUCUAUGCAAGAGGAAAAGGAAGCCAAGAGAUGAAGUGUUUACCAACCGAGCAUCCACAAUCCUGCAGUGGUAUAAAAAGAUCAGAGAGAGGAGAGUAAGUCUGAUAAAGAGAAGUGAGAGAAGGCCAGGACUUGUUAGGAACACCUGGUAGGGAUGAUGGAGAACCCUACUGGGAUGGAGCACACAGUAGCACCAUGUCCAAGGAUAGUGCCACAUCCUAGGUGUCUCCUGAUUCCCUCUUCCUCUGCUCACUGGGAUCCCCUUUCACUUUACCACCUCCAAGGAAAAGAGCCUUUCCUCCUCAUUCCAAGGAGAACAAUGUAUACUGGGAGAACCUCUUAUCCCCCACACCCACAAAGGAAAGGCCCUUCUACCACCAUCUCAUACCAUAAGAUGUAGAGAACAUUUUGGACCUCCCCAGGUACACAAAUCUGUGACCUCAAAAGCACAUGUUUCAGAGUUAGGAUUUUCUCUCUUCUUUUUUCAUUUUUGCACAGGGUUUUUAAUUUUGCAUCAUGGUAUGUUUGUGAAUUGUAAAAACCUUUGUUGAACAUU